CAUCCGCCUGCAACGUCGGGUCUGUUGCCUGGCUGUUGAAAGUAGUCCACGUCUGUGUUGGUAUUCCUGUGGCAGCUCACAGCUUAUGGUUCGAAAAGUAUGUUUGAAAUGACUAUUUAUGUUAACGCUGCAAGUUCGUACGACUAGGGACGUUGACCCUUGGUGAGUGUUUGUUGUGCUGAGGCUAACUAUUGGAUUGAGUGGUCAAAUUAGUGAUGAGCUUGAUCACUUUUUUGGUGCAAUUUUAGGGUAAUAUUUAUAUCUCGUUAGCAAUGAAUUUGAGAAGAAAUUGCUUUAUUUAACUCCCUUGGAGGAACAUAUUAUGAUGUUACUAUUAUAAUCCCCAAACAGAAGGUAGACAUACAGUGCAUAAACGCUUUCUUGUGUUAGAACCUUGAGCGAUUGUUAAUUUCCCUAGGGUGCUUGCCACGCUGACAGAAAAUUCGGAUCGGCGCUGAACCCGGACGAGGUCGCUGCAGUCAUCAGAGCCUCCUCCGCUGCGGGAGGCUAAGGGUGAGAGGAAGGAGGUGUCGUCAGCUCCAGAAGGAUCAGCAGCCCUCGUCGUCAACUGCAUAUGCCGAGGUCGCUGCUGGUGCUGCCGACUCUGCACCAGCCUCCUUCAUCUCCCAACCAAGGCCGGCUCAACCCCUCAAGAAGAGCAGGGAUGCUCUCUGUCUACACCCAGCAUCCACACAGCCAGAUCGACAGGGUUGAGCUCCUCCAUGAACCGAUUUCUUACCUUGCUGGUUGUGUCAUGGCAGUCAACAUUUGCUUGAUGAAUGUUUCAGUUUUACUACUGCUGCACCUCCCCACCAUGAGCUCGGCCUUCAGCCGUCACUGACACUGACUGUUUAUUCUUGCUCCUUUCUCUAAUUCAUUUAUAUAUUUCAUGGGUAGGGUUUGGGUGGCUUGAUGAGAGCAGCCCAGUAGCCGUACCUCUGCAACUUCGCCAAUGUGGACGCAUAGCUCUCUAUAAGAAGAUCAAUCAUCGAUGACUUGCCGAUUUACAAGGCAUGUAAAAAAUAUAUACUUUCUAUGUGUUCUUUGGAUCAACUAAUGUGAGGAGAAAACAGAUUGGGGGGAUAUGAGGCUAUUGGUGUUUAUUCCUAAAUGAGGUAUUUCUGAGUUGGUUCACUCUGGAAAAAGGCUUUCCAUAAGGUGGUCCGCAGCUGGGCCUCAAAGAAAUUCAUGACUGGAUGGUAAGUCAUUUUACUAAGAUAAAUCCCACAAGAAAAGUCAUGUGAAACGGAUGGUAGAGCUGUAUGAUAUUGCCAGCAUUCAAAUUCAGUGAUUAUCGGCUAGGAAAUAAUUUUGGCAGAUUUUGUCAUAAGAUUGCCAGGAGCAUAGCUAAAUAGUUCGGAUAGUGACUCGGUGUGAUAUCUACUUUGGUUCUGGGUCUUAUCUCUUUUUUUGAAAAGAAUCAGCAUAAGAGAUCAAGGGAAUAUCAAAUAGGUCAUGCUUGGUGCAUCAUUUUGUAUUAUUCAACAACUAGAAUGGGUGGCAUGAACCCAGAGGAUAUAUGUGACCAUAUUUUCCCUAGUUGCCAACCCGCAAGCCACAAUUGACAGGGGAUUUUGGAAAUCCAAGUAUUUUCAGUUAACUUCAGCAUUCGGACAAUUAUGCUCCUCUAAAAUAACUAUGAGCUUCUAAUUGGACCUUUCAAGCAAUGGUGUUGUUAAUAUAUUAGUCAUUAUAUUAUGUUACUAGAGUAUUAGAAUAACUUCUAGAUAUAUGUGUUUAUAUGAUUUUUCUGACAUUUAGUGCAAAAAUAUUGAUGGCCACGCACUAUACUGUGCAUAAAUAAAAAUUUCAGUUUUUCUUUUCGUGGUUGCAGCAGUUUUUCUGUGACAUUACACUACUCUUCACUUUCACAGGCCACAGAACACUAAAUAAGUUGGCAAUGGAUACCCUGUGGUCUACCAUUAUAAUUAUGUGUGCAUUUUGGAUCUAUUGGAUGUCUGAGUGUAAUGCUAAUCGACAUUUACUGAUGCAAAGGUAUGUUAUAUUUGUAAAUACGAAAUGAUUCUUAUUUGUACCUCCAACAGUCCUUAUAUUUUCUAUUUGUAAUAUGAAAUGAUUCUUAUUUGUGGUCUAGAGUCUGGUUGUGUUUGAACAAAGUCGGCCAGAAUGAUAUAGUUGUUUUUUCAAGUUGGUUAUAUUAAUUUUUCCAGAAUAGUGAUUAUUUAUUAGUUCACACAGUACAUAGUACCACCGACCGCUAACUACAUUUUGUACAGAUUUUGCAGGGAUGUAGAUAUAUAUGGUGAUCACUAUGAUCUAAGUGUUUCAGUUCGUAUUUAGCAGGAUCACAUGUUGACCAAUGACUCUUUGUUUUCUCACUGAUCCAGUAUACUCAAGAACUUGAAUAUUGUGUUUAAUGUGAGUUAUUGACACUUCCUUGAUUUUUGCAACUCAGGAGUGAAGAUGGCCUUCCUUUGGUAGGCGUAGUGAAUGAAUUUUCUUCUAAUUCAGGCCAUGGUUCAUACCGCUUGGUGGCUGGAUCUGCCAUGGAGUGGCUACCAUGGGCCAACAAGAGCUCAACAAGAGGGCCAAAUUGUUGUUCUUUCCCAGAUCAUCUAAAUCAGAUGGAUGGGCUCCAAACUCCCAGUGCCAUUUGUCACUUUUGUGUUUGAAUUUUUACUCGAGUGCCUUUGGACAUAUGGUACUAUGGAGAGGUGACAUUAGCACAAUUGAUGGUUGCUUCUCCUCUCCUGUCGACUAAAUCUUCUUCCUCUAUAUGUCAAUAUAUCAACAAAACAAGAGAUCUCUAAUAUCAUUGUUUUAUGGAGUUAACAGAUUGUUGAAGAUUUUUGCUGCCAUGGAAUUGUGAGUUUGUGACUAUACAUUCUUGUCCUAUAUGUGAAUUGAAGAUAUAUAGUCUCUUUGUGAAUGCAAAUAUCCAG